UACAGAGGGGGCAAGCGUUAUUCGGAAUUAUUGGGCGUAAAGGGCGCGUAGGCGGCUUUGCAAGUGACGGGUGAAAUCCCUCGGCUUAACCGAGGAACUGCCUGUCAAACUGCAUGGCUUGAGACCGGGAGAGGUGAGUGGAAUUCCCAGUGUAGCGGUGAAAUGCGUAGAUAUCAGGAGGAACACCGAUGGCGAAGGCAGGUCUCUGGGCCACUACUGACGCUGAGAAGCGAAAGCGUGGGGAGCGAACAGG
rnacentral:rRNA from 1 species